GUUGCUUUUCAACCGUUGACCUGUCGCCUGGGCGUGUCCUCUGUGGAAGAGGCGUGUCCCGUGUGGAAGGGGGAGUGUCAUGUGUGGAAGGGGCGGGGUGAAGAAGUGAACAAAAUCCUCGUAAUCUUUGGUGCACUUUCAGUACCGAGGACAGCGACAGGGAGGGCUAGAAAAGGGUUUAAAACAUGGUAUUCCGAAUAGGAUAAACGGAUCAAGGUAACUGUUUCGUUUAACAUUUAACUUUCCUUCAACAAAUUAAUUCAUCACAUUUUUCUUCAUCUGUCCUUUCCUAAAAAAAACACACUCGCUCGCUCCUGUAGGACCCGGUUCGAAUCACAAAUCAAGUGGAAAAUCGUAGGCUAUUUUUGAAGAAUAUUUUCAGAAGAAACGAAAGUCAACUCGGCUGCGACCAUGAAUGGUAUUAUUCCCAUAAACAGAACCGCCCUGAACUUCACGGGUCUGGGCCAGGGGUUCCCGUACCUCACGGUGACCGAGGAGCCUCUGUACCGGCAGUACCGGCCGGCGCCCCGGGACCUCAUCCCCCUGCCCCGGGCGGUCCUCUACCUGCUGAUGGCCGCCCUGGUGGUGGUAGGGGUCGCCUACGCCAUAGUGGGACAUCUGAUCAAAGACCUGGCCAUCGACAUCACAGAGUGCGUCCUGGGCCCCACUGGCGAGGAGGAGAAGGAGCAGCAGGAGGUGAAGCUGCAGCACAGCGCCCCCUGCCCCGCCCAGUCGGUACUGCAGCUGGCCCACGGCAACGCCUUCCACGUGUGGGACACGGACAACAUGGUCAUCUCGCUGCCCGCCGCCGAUGACAGCGCUCCCUGCAGCCCCCUGAUACACGGCGCCAUGCCCUACAUGCCCUCCUUCUUCCCCGGCCACGGCCACAGCCCCCCCCAUCACUACACCGGGCUGGCCUCGCCCCCCCCCCACCAGCCCCCAGCCAAUCAGGGAUCAUAGGAUCUAGACCGGGUGGAUCCGGUCUACUCUGGUCUCAACGCACAUUUCUGAUCUCUGACUUCCUGUGAGGGGUGUACGUCGAUACAGUUUGCUGGUCCCCCGUGCAACAAAAAUAACAGAGCCCUGUCCGUUCUGACCAGUUGUGACGCUGUGUGAGGGGGCGUGAGUGUGAGGGGCUAGGAGACAGUAGAAAGUCGACAGAAAGAUACUUGCAAACAAAUGAUUGAAAUCAAUUGACUCAUCGAUUGACUACAGAUGUGUCCGGGUAAAUUGAUGCUACGCGCUAGUUGAAAAGUUACAUAUUGCAGCUUUAACUUCCGUUACGACAUGCUUGGGCAACACAUGCAGACCUGUUGAGGCCCAGGGGAUGGACGAAGACCAGCAGCUUGUGGACUGGGUGUUGUGAUAAGAUGGUUCAACAUGUGACUCAUGAAUACUGAUGUAUGAAGACACAGACUUGUGUACCCUGGUGCGAACACAAAGAACAACAUGGCUUCUAUGCUCACUAUGCUCCACGUUGAGAUGUUCACCAUUACACCAGUAAACUAUUAUUCUAGUCUACUGUCAGUGAACUUUUGGUUGUCAUAUAUAAGCGUGUAAUGUUGCGUAGGCCUAUGUGUACUAAUAAUGUUCAGAUUCCAGCGUGUUUAGUACAUAUUCAUCAUUUUAUUGUAGUAAACACUACAUUCAUGGAAAGAUAUUAAAAGUAUUGGACGCAAUUAUGAUACAAGUUAACUUUUGUUUGAAAGUGCACUAAGAAAGCAGAUACCAGUAACUUUUGCUGCUACCCUUUCCUGUUGUGAUGUUCUACAACAGAACAAACAACCCCUUUAUGUUGUCCUGCUCUAC
ensembl:lncRNA